GACGAACGCUGGCGGCGUGCUUAACACAUGCAAGUCGAACGGAAAGACCCUGCUUUUGUGGUGUGCUCGAGUGGCGAACGGGUGAGUAACACGUGCGUAACCUGCCCUUGACUUUGGGAUAACUUCAGGAAACUGGGGCUAAUACCGGAUAGGCGCUCCUGCUGCAUUGUGGGGGUUGGAUAGUUUCGGCGGUUGGGGAUGUACUCGCGGCUUAUCAGCUUGUUGGUGGGGUAGUGGCUUACCAAGGCUUUGACGGGUAGCCGGCCUGAGAGGGUGACCGGCCACAUUGGGACUGAGAUACGGCCCAGACUCCUACGGGAGGCAGCAGUGGGGAAUAUUGCACAAUGGGCGGAAGCCUGAUGCAGCAACGCCGCGUGCGGGAUGACGGCCUUCGGGUUGUAAACCGCUUUCGCCUGUAACGAAGCGUGAGUGACGGUAAUGGGUAAAGAAGCACCGGCUAACUACGUG
rnacentral:rRNA from 1 species